UGAGGAAUCUUGCGCAAUGGGGGAAACCCUGACGCAGCAACGCCGCGUGAGUGAAGAAGGCCUUCGGGUCGUAAAGCUCUGUCAGAUGGGAAGAAAUGGAUGGGGGCUAAUAUCGUCCAUCCUUGACGGUACCAUCAGAGGAAGCACCGGCUAACUCCGUGCCAGCAGCCGCGGUAAUACGGGGGGUGCAAGCGUUGUUCGGAAUCAUUGGGCGUAAAGCGCGCGCAGGCGGCUUGGUAAGUCAGAUGUGAAAUCCCGGGGCUUAACUCCGGAACUGCCAUAGAAACUGCAAGCCUAGAGUACGGAAGAGGUUGAUGGAAUAUCUGGUGUAGCAGUGAAAUGCGUAGAUAUCAGAUAGAACACCAAUGGCGAAGGCAGUCAACUGGUCCGUUACUGACGCUAAAGCACGAAAGUGUGGGGAGCGAACA
rnacentral:rRNA from 1 species